UCUAGAUUUGAUGUGGUGUAGGAAUGUUAAUAGUAAUAGUGAAAUGUAUAUAGAAUUGGUAUAAAAUAAAUUGGAUAUUGGUAGCUUGAAAAGGUAGAUAUUCGAUUCACGAAAGCUUGAGGUGUGACAGGGAUUUGAGACCCCUUUAAUUCGAGACUGAAAUUAUGCAGGCAAUGUUUGUGGAUCUCUUUUUAACAAAUAAAGGUUCUUUUCCUAAGGAGUACGCUUUCACUUGUGAAACUUAAAUGUUCUGGUGGUGGUUUAGAACAAUAGUGGAAUAGAUGAUUUAAUUCGAUGAAAUGCGAUAAAGCUUAUCUGUUAUCUGAAAUAAUACCUAGGUAUAGGUAGAAUUCUAUUCGAGGUAGUGCAUGGCUGUUGGAUGUUUUGUAAUAUCUGGUUUCGGACAGGAAUAGCCGAUACACUUUUAGUUGUUAUAGGUCUUUUGCAUCUUUUCAUGAUGCAUGAUAUGAAUAAUGAAUAGUAUUAGUUGUGAUGCAUGAUAUGAAUAAUGAAUGUGAUGCAUGAAUAGUAUGGUCUUUUAGAUAGAAUAACGUCGAGUCAUUAUGCUCUUUAGUUCGGAGAUAUUCAUGUGUUACUAGGAGAGGUAUAUA
rnacentral:rRNA from 1 species